rnacentral:rRNA from 1 species
GACGAACGCUGGCGGCGUGCUUAACACAUGCAAGUCGAACGGAAAGGCCUCUUUGCGGGGGUACUCAAGGUGGCCAACGGGGGAGUAACACGAGAGUAACCUGCCCUUGCACUUUGGAAUAACUUCAGGAAACUGGAGCUAGUACCGGAUAGGAGCUCCUGCUGCAUGGUGGGGGUUGGAAAGUUUCUGCGGAUGGGAGAUGGACUCCCGGCUUAUCACCUUGUUGGUGGGGUACGUGGCUUACCAAGGCUUUAUACAGGUAGCCAGCCUGAGAGGGUAGACCCGCCACAUUGGGACUGACAUACAGCCCACACUCCUACGGAGAGGCAGCAGUGGGGAAUAUUGCACUGUGGGUGGAACCCAGAUGCACCUGCCCCGUGUGCGAGAAGACCGCCUUCGGGUUGAAAACCGCUUUCUCUCAUGACAAACCUUUCUGUGACGGUAGAGGGUAAAGAACCACCGGAUAACUGCUUGCCAACAUCCGCGGCGAUACCUACGGUGCGAGCGAUGACCCGAUUUAUUGCCCGAAAAGGUGCUCGUAAGUGGUUGAUCACGUCGGUAAUGUAAUCUUGGGGCUUAACCCUGAGCGUGCCUUUGAUACUGAUGAGCUUGAAUGAACUAAAGGUAGGCGGAAUGUGACAAGUAACGGUGAAAUGCGCAGAUAUGUCACAGAACACCGAUUGCGAAGGCAGCUUACUAUGGUUUUAUCCUGACGCUGAGGAGCGAAAGCGUGGGGAUCAAACAGGAUUAAAUACCCUGGUAGUCCACGCCCUAAACGAUGAAUACUCGCUGUUAGCGAUACACAGUUAGCGGCUAAGCGAAAGCGUUAAGUAUUCCACCUGGGGAGUACGCCCGCAAGGGUGAAACUCAAAGGAAUUGACGGGGGCCCGCACAAGCGGCGGAGCAUGUGGUUUAAUUCUAUGAUACGCGAGGAACCUUACCCGGGCUUGAAAGUUAGUGAAUGAUUUAGAGAUAGAUCAGUGAGCAAUCACACGAAACUAGGUGCUGCAUGGCUGUCAUCAGCUCGUGCCGUGAGGUGUUGGGUUAAGUCCCGCAACGAGCGCAACCCCUAUGUUUAGUUGCCAGCACGUUAUGGUGGGGACUCUAAACAAACUGCCGGGGUCAACAGAGAGGAAGGUGGGGAUGACGUCAAGUCAUCAUGCCCCUUAUGUCCAGGGCUUCACGCAUGCUACAAUGGAUGGUACAAAGAGUUGCGAGCUGGCAACAGCAAGCGAAUCUCGGAAAGCCGGUCUCAGUUCGGAUUGGGGUCUGCAACUCGACCUCAUGAAGUCGGAGUCGCUAGUAAUCGCAGAUCAGCAACGCUGCGGUGAAUACGUUCCCGGGCCU